rnacentral:rRNA from 1 species
UACAGAGGGUGCGAGCGUUGUUCGGAAUUAUUGGGCGUAAAGGGCGCGUAGGCGGGCGCCACAAGUCACUUGUGAAAACUCUGGGCUCAACUCAGAGCCUGCAAGCGAAAACUGUGGUGCUGGAGUAUGGGAGAGGUGCGUGGAAUUCCCGGUGUAGCGGUGAAAUGCGUAGAUAUCGGGAAGGAACACCCUGUGGCGGAAAGCGGCGCACUUGGACCAUAACUGACGCUGGAGGCGACGAAAGGCUAGGGGAGCAAACAGG